rnacentral:rRNA from 1 species
GAUGAACGCUGGCGGCGUGCCUAAUACAUGCAAGUCGAGCGAACGGACGAGAAGCUUGCUUUUCUGAUGUUAGCGGCGGACGGGUGAGUAACACGUGGAUAACCUACCUAUAAGACUGGGAUAACUUCGGGAAACCGGAGCUAAUACCGGAUAAUAUUUUGAACCGCAUGGUUCAAAAGUGAAAGACGGUCUUGCUGUCACUUAUAGAUGGAUCCGCGCUGCAUUAGCUAGUUGGUAAGGUAACGGCUUACCAAGGCAACGAUGCAUAGCCGACCUGAGAGGGUGAUCGGCCCCACUGGAACUGAGACACGGUCCAGACUCCUACGGGAGGAAGCAGUAGGGAAUCUUCCGCAAUGGGCGAAAGCCUGACGGAGCAACGCCGCGUGAGUGAUGAAGGUCUUCGGAUCGUAAAACUCUGUUAUUAGGGAAGAACAUAUGUGUAAGUAACUGUGCACAUCUUGACGGUACCUAAUCAGAAAGCCACGGCUAACUACGUG